UUCCGGAUUUGAUUCAGGUUGUGUAAACGGCAUAUUACGUUUGGGUAUUACGAAAAAGGCCGUUUUCCAAAUUUAGCAUUUUUUUUGGAUUAAAACGUGGGAUAUGCCGGCAUUAUUUGGGUGUUAGAAGCAUUCUUUGGAAAUAUAUACAGUGCAUUUGGAAUAUGCUCUCAAUCUGGGUUUUUAACGCAGCUUACAGCCUCUUGCCGGUUUACGGCUUAUGGUCAUCUCUGUGCGUUGCUAUGGUUUCUGUACACAAACCAACCAGCCAACAGUUUGCAAACCCGUUAAGAAGGAGAAACACAGUUACUUCAUUACAUUAUCAAAGACUUGGAUAUAAUUGUUUUUUUGGGAAAUGCCACACAUUGCUCCGCCGACCUUUUCUAGAAACUGGUUGAAGGAAUAAAAGAGGGACGCUGUGUUCACACAGUCCAACAAGUCUGCCACCACUGGAAAAAUUGUAUUUUGCAUGGCUACAAUUGAACAGGCAUAUUAGUGGAAUAUUCACUUUCGUUAGCCAUGUAAACAGCUUUGUCGGAAUAUCGUCUUUUUCGGAACAAGG